AUUGAACGCUGGCGGCAUGCCUUACACAUGCAAGUCGAACGGCAGCACGGGUGCUUGCCCCUGGUGGCGAGUGGCGAACGGGUGAGUAAUACAUCGGAACAUGUCCUGUAGUGGGGGAUAGCCCGGCGAAAGCCGGAUUAAUACCGCAUACGAUCUACGGAUGACAGCGGGGGACCUUCGGGCCUCGCGCUAUAGGGUUGGCCGAUGGCUGAUUAGCUAGUUGGUGGGGUAAAGGCCUACCAAGGCGACGAUCAGUAGCUGGUCUGAGAGGACGACCAGCCACACUGGGACUGAGACACGGCCCAGACUCCUACGGGAGGCAGCAGUGGGGAAUUUUGGACAAAGGGCGAAAGCCUGAUCCAGCAAUGCCGCGUGUGUGAAGAAGGCCUUCGGGUUGGAAAGCACUUUUGUCCGGAAAGAAAUCCUUGGCCCUAAUACGGUCGGGGGAUGACGGUACCGGAAGAAUAAGCACCGGCUAACUACGUG
rnacentral:rRNA from 1 species